UGCAGUCGAGGGGUAUAGUUCUUCGGAACUAGAGACCGGCGCACGGGUGCGUAACGCGUAUGCAAUCUACCUUUUACAGAGGGAUAGCCCAGAGAAAUUUGGAUUAAUACCUCAUAGUAUAUAGCCCUGGCAUCAGGAUUAUAUUAAAGUCACAACGGUAAAAGAUGAGCAUGCGUCCCAUUAGCUAGUUGGUAAGGUAACGGCUUACCAAGGCUACGAUGGGUAGGGGUCCUGAGAGGGAGAUCCCCCACACUGGUACUGAGACACGGACCAGACUCCUACGGGAGGCAGCAGUGAGGAAUAUUGGACAAUGGGCGCAAGCCUGAUCCAGCCAUGCCGCGUGCAGGAUGACGGUCCUAUGGAUUGUAAACUGCUUUUAUACGAGAAGAAACACUCCUUCGUGAAGGAGCUUGACGGUAUCGUAAGAAUAAGGAUCGGCUAACUCCGUGCCAGCAGCCGCGGUAAUACGGAGGAUCCAAGCGUUAUCCGGAAUCAUUGGGUUUAAAGGGUCCGUAGGCGGUUUAAUAAGUCAGUGGUGAAAGCCCAUCGCUCAACGGUGGAACGGCCAUUGAUACUGUUAGACUUGAAUUAUUAGGAAGUAACUAGAAUAUGUAGUGUAGCGGUGAAAUGCUUAGAGAUUACAUGGAAUACCAAUUGCGAAGGCAGGUUACUACUAAUUGAUUGACGCUGAUGGACGAAAGCGUGGGUAGCGAACAGGAUUAGAUACCCUGGUAAGUCCACGCCGUAAACGAUGGAUACUAUCUGUUGGAAGCAAUUUCAGUGGCUAACCGAAAGUUGAUAGUAUCCCACCUGGGGAGUACGUUCG
rnacentral:rRNA from 1 species